rnacentral:tRNA from 1 species
GUUUAAAUAGCUUAAAAAGAGCAUGAUAUUGAAGAUAUCCAGGUGAUCUUUUGAUCUUUAAAUA